rnacentral:rRNA from 1 species
AACGAACGCUGGCGGCAUGCCUAACACAUGCAAGUCGAACGAGAUCUUCGGGUCUAGUGGCGCACGGGUGCGUAACGCGUGGGAAUCUGCCCUUUGGUUCGGAAUAACAGUUGGAAACGACUGCUAAUACCGGAUGAUGACGAAAGUCCAAAGAUUUAUCGCCAGAGGAUGAGCCCGCGUAGGAUUAGCUAGUUGGUGUGGUAAAGGCGCACCAAGGCGACGAUCCUUAGCUGGUCUGAGAGGAUGAUCAGCCACACUGGGACUGAGACACGGCCCAGACUCCUACGGGAGGCAGCAGUGGAGAAUAUUGGACAAUGGGCGAAAGCCUGAUCCAGCAAUGCCGCGUGGGUGAUGAAGGCCUUAGGGUUGUAAAGCUCUUUUACCCGGGAUGAUAAUGACAGUACCGGGAGAAUAAGCUCCGGCUAACUCCGCGCCAGCCGCCGCCGUAA